AUCGAACGCUGGCGGCAAGCCUAACACAUGCAAGUCGAACGAGUGGCGGACGGGUGCGUAAUUUCUGGGAAACUGCCUGAUGGAGGGGGAUAACUACUGGAACAGGUAGCUAAUACCGCAUACCAUCGGAUGUGCCCAGAUGGGAUUAGCUAGUAGGUGGGGUAAAGGCUGACCAAGGCGACGCUCCCUAGCUGGUCUGAGAGGAUGACCAGCCACACUGGGACUGAGAAACGGUCCAGACUCCUACGGGAGGCAACAGUGGGGAAGAGUGCGCAAGGGGCGCAAGCCUGAUGCAGCCAGGCCGCGUGUAUGAAGAAGGCACUAGGAUUGUAGAGUACUGUCAGCAGAGAAGCGUUACCCGCCGAAGAAGCACCGGCUAACUCCGUGCCAGCAGCCGCGGUAAUAC
rnacentral:rRNA from 1 species